rnacentral:rRNA from 1 species
UACGGAGGGUGCAAGCGUUGCUCGGAAUUAUUGGGCGUAAAGGGUAGGUAGGUGGUCUCAUUUGUCUGGGGUGAAAGCCUUGGGCUUAACUCAAGAAGUGCCCCGGAAACGGUGAGACUAGAGUACUGGAGAGGCGAGCGGAAUUCCCGGUGUAGCGGUGAAAUGCGUAGAGAUCGGGAGGAACACCAGAGGCGAAAGCGGCUCGCUGGACAGUGACUGACACUCAACUACGAAAGCGUGGGGAGCAAACAGG